rnacentral:rRNA from 1 species
UACAGAGGUCCCAAGCGUUUGUUCGGAUUCACUGGGCGUAAAGGGUGCGUAGGUGGUGGGGUAAGUUUGAUGUGAAAGCUCCGAGCUUAACUCGGAAAUGGCAUUGAAUACUAUCCUGCUAGAGGUUUGGAGGGGGGACUGGAAUUCUCGGUGUAGCAGUGAAAUGCGUAGAUAUCGAGAGGAACACCAGUGGCGAAGGCGAGUCCCUGGACAACACCUGACACUGAGGCACGAAAGCUAGGGGAGCAAACAGG